CCCACUCUCAUUAUAAUGAGAUAAUACCAAUUUACUGUAUUAGUCCAUUCUCACACUGCUAUAAAGAACUGCCCGAGACUGCAUGAUUUAUAAAGAAAAGAGGUUUAAUUGACUCACAGUUCAGCAUGGCAGGCAAGGCCUCAGGAAAUUUACAAUUAUGGUGGAAGGCACCUCUUCACAGGGCAGCAGGAGAGAAAAGUGCUGAACAAAGGAGGAAAAGCCCCUUAUCACACCAUCAGAUCUCAUGAGAACUCAGUCACUAUCACAGAACAGCACGGGGGUAACUGCCCCAGUGAUUCAAUUACCUCCCACCAGGUCCCUCCCCUGACACGUGGGGAUGAUGGGAACUACAAUUCAAGAUGAGAUCUGGGUGAGAACAUAGCCAAACUAUAUCAUCUUCCCUAUGACUUUUCUUUCUCUUUACUUAAAGUAUCAGAAAAAUCAUAAAUCAGGAUCAACUUUGCUGGCAAGGAAGUUACUGAUGGCUUGCUUAUCUACAGAAGAAAGAAUGGCUGCCUGGAGGUUGGGGUGAAAAUAGAGGAUGUCUGUAAAUUGGCACAUGAAGCCUUUUCGGGGUGAUGGAAAUAUUCUAAAAUUGAAUUGUGGCAGUGGUUGCACAGCUCUAACAAUUGACUGAAAGUUACUGAAUUAUACACUUAUGACAAAAUGUUAUGGCACACUAAGUACCUCUUAAAACUUUCAUAAUAAGGAGAUUGUCACCAAUUAAAAGGUUAACACUUGGACGUGUAUGCUUACAAAGUUCUUUCAUUAGUGUUGGAGGUGGAUUACAGUCCUCUGGGAAAAUUUCCUUUAGUGUUUGCUCAUGCCGGUACCCACAAAUAGAGGUGUCUUCUCAGAUUCUCUUCUCAUGUCUAUGUUGUAAUUGCACUGCUUAAUCAAUGUGAGUAAAGGGGUGUCUGUCAUUCCAUGAAAAUCCAGCAUUUGCAUAUAUUCUCAAAUAUUAUGAGUUUCUUUUAAGUCCAACACUGUACUAGAUGCAUCAUAUAAAUUAUCACAGAUCCUUAACACAGUCGUCUUGGGCAGCCCUCAUUGUCCCCAUGUCGCAGGUUGGAAAAGUGUGCUCAGAAGAACUAAGUAAAUUGUUCAAGCUCUGAUUCUUUUCGCUAUUUACCAAUUUGUCACUUGGGCCUUGAAUAUAUUUUCUAUAACUCUGUAUUACAUUUUAAAAUGAAGUGUGGUAUGCUUUUACUGAUGUAGGAAAAAAACCAGUUUCCAACAUUUCCAAUGACCAUCUUUGUGUUUCAAUACUCCAGAAUGAAGUGAAGGUCUUUGGCUCCAAAAUAAUUGAAAGCUACUCCACUGUUUGGCAUGAACUUGUUCAUUACAGGUACAUUCACUUAACAGGCUCUCUUUCCACCCUUGUAGAAAUACAAAAAUAAGACUUAAUACAGACGAUGGCAUGGGCUUAGUAACUACCCCUUUACCCUUAAACAGCUCAUUGCCCCUUUACAGGGAAGGGCUAAGUACAGUGUACGGUUUUAUCACAUUCCAGUGUAAGAAAUGCAUCGUGAAAAGCAGAUGGAGAGGUGAUGCUGGAGAGAGAGUGCAUAGCUCUCAUGGAAAAAGUCUUGUAGGAUUUCUUAAACUGGUGAUCUCUAGCUAUUCUGUAAGAAUAAAAAGAAAUUUACGAUGCAGAUAUGAGGGAAACAUUUAGCAAGUGGUGAAUAGUAAAUGAAACUCCCAAUUGGCUUGUUUUUGAGGAAAUUCCAUGCUUAAUUGUGUGGGCUAUCAGUGCCAAAUCAUAACAAAGAUAGCACCACUUAAUAUAUUUACUUAAAGAGUCAAAGGCUUGAGUGUCCUUGAGAAAACCUCUACGUCAGCAGAAGUUCAAGUUUCAGCAAACAAUAUUAACAUCAAAUACCAGGUAGCUAUAGGUCGCCUUUCUCCCUGUUUGUGCCCCAUUAAGAAGGGAGGUAGGAGGAGAGCAUGGAUAUGACCAAACUCAAACUUAUUUCUUGGGAUUGUGAGUUUGCUGCCCCCUAACAGUGCUGGGAACAUAAUCCCUCACGAGGAGCAGAAACAUCUUGCAGUUUAUGUCCGUUUUUAUCCAUUGAUCUCCUGCUGUCGAUGUCUGACUUUUCGCUUUGUCUGUUUUAUCAGUGGGAGCUGAUGUCAACUCUUCAGAAAUGUCAAGGUUCUGCAAUUCUCAUAGAUUCCCAGGAGCUCGAAGUUCCCAAGUACGUCUUCCAGGGAUGAGCGGCACUCCAGACUCCCACGCCAUCCAGGAUACCUAGGGCCACCUGGAACUCCAGGAG
rnacentral:lncRNA from 1 species